GAUGAAGAACGCAGCGAAUUGCGAUAUGUAAUGUGAAUUGCAGAUUUUCAGUGAAUCAUCGAAUCUUUGAACGCACAUUGCGCCCCUUGGUAUUCCGAGGGGCAUGCCUGUUCGAGCGUCAUAUUAACCACUCCCGCUUGCGGGGUCUUGGGCUUCGCCUCCGGGCGGGCCUUAAAAUCAGUGGCGGUGCCGUCGGGCUCUACGCGUAGUAAAUUUUCUCGCGAUAGGGUCCCGGUGGAUGCUUGCCAACAACCCCCAACUUCUUAAGGUUGACCUCGGAUCAGGUAGGGAUACCCGCUGAACUUAAGCAUAUCAAUAAGCGGAGGA
rnacentral:misc_RNA from 1 species